UUUAAUUUUCAUAUUGAACUGUUUUGAUGACUUGUAUUCUGCUAUACAAAAUGUGCUUUUUUCAAUUUCAGGUCAGCAAUGGUAAGUAUAUUGUGUUUCUUUAUGUAUAAUUUUGUAUACAUAUUGUUUUUUUCAUCAUAGCAUGUUUUUUAUAUUUAUGCUUUGUGUAAGUAAAAUGUUCAUAAAUCAUUCUUAUCUUUAAACUAAAAAUGUAUUUUGAUAUGCAAAAUGUCUGUAUGAUUUCAGUUGCCAGAGGUGAGUACCAUAACAGUUGAAAAGUUAGUUUUGUUUAGUUAAAGUUUUGGUUCACAGUUUUGUUUGUUAUUUGGCAAAAUUUACAUGUAUGCAUUGAGUCUUGAUUUCAGCUCGAUUGUGGACUGAAGAAGAUUGCCAGCAGAGGGAUUGGAUACAAAAUACAAACUUUACUGCUAGACGAGUGUUCUCUACUACUUGACGAGUCAGCUUUACUACCAGGCGAGCAGUGACAACAAGGCGCCUUUGUGGAAACAACACAACAAAAAACUGUACUGCUAGACGAGCAGUGACAGAAAGGCGCCUGAACAUGCAACACAAAACAAAAAAUGCCAAUAUACAAACCUUGAUGUGGACACCGAGUAGUCAAUACAUACGUGUGGCGUACAGCUGCGACAAAACCGUGGGUCCAUCGCACCGAUAACUCGAAUAUUGGCCCGCGUAUGGACAUCAGUGCAACUUUGUGAAUCCAUGUAACUUUGUGAAUCCAUGUAACAUUGCGAAUAUGU